UACGUAGGGUGCGAGCGUUGUCCGGAUUUAUUGGGCGUAAAGAGCUCGUAGGCGGUCUGUCGCGUCUGCUGUGAAAUCCCGAGGCUCAACCUCGGGUCUGCAGUGGGUACGGGCAGACUGGAGUGCGGUAGGGAGAAUGAAUUCCUGGUGUAGCGGUGGAAUGCGCAGAUAUCAGGAGGAACACCGAUGGCGAAGGGCAGUUCUCUGGGCCGUAACUGACGCUGAGGAGCGAAAGCGUGGGGAGCGAACAGG
rnacentral:rRNA from 1 species